ensembl:snRNA U6 U6 spliceosomal RNA
GUGCUCACUUUAGCAGCACAUAUACUAAAAUUUGAACUAUACAGAGAACAUUAGCAUCACCACUGAGCAAGGACAAAAAGCAAUUUAGUAAAGCAUUCCAUAUUUUU